rnacentral:rRNA from 1 species
UACAGAGGGGGCAAGCGUUGUUCGGAAUUACUGGGCGUAAAGGGCGCGUAGGCGGCCUGCUAAGUCGAACGUGAAAUCCCCCGGGCUCAACCCGGGAACUGCGUCCGAUACUGGCAGGCUUGAAUCCGGGAGAGGGAUGCGGAAUUCCAGGUGUAGCGGUGAAAUGCGUAGAUAUCUGGAGGAACACCGGUGGCGAAGGCGGCAUCCUGGACCGGCAUUGACGCUGAGGCGCGAAAGCCAGGGGAGCAAACGGG